rnacentral:rRNA from 1 species
UACGUAGGGUGCAAGCGUUAAUCGGAAUUACUGGGCGUAAAGCGUGCGCAGGCGGUGAUGUAAGACAGAUGUGAAAUCCCCGGGCUCAACCUGGGAACUGCAUUUGUGACUGCAUCGCUGGAGUGCGGCAGAGGGGGAUGGAAUUCCGCGUGUAGCAGUGAAAUGCGUAGAUAUGCGGAGGAACACCGAUGGCGAAGGCAGCCCCCUGGGCUGACACUGACGCUCAGGCACGAAAGCGUGGGGAGCAAACAGG